AAAGGGUCCGUAGGCGGUUUAGUAAGUCAGUGGUGAAAGCCCAUCGCUCAACGAUGGAACGGCCAUUGAUACUGCUAGACUUGAAUUACUAGGAAGUAACUAGAAUAUGUAGUGUAGCGGUGAAAUGCUUAGAUAUUACAUGGAAUACCAAUUGCGAAGGCAGGUUACUACUAGUGGAUUGACGCUGAUGGACGAAAGCGUGGGGAGCGAACAGGAUUAGAUACCCCAGU
rnacentral:rRNA from 1 species